rnacentral:lncRNA from 1 species
AAAAAGAAUUUGGUAAGGUGGUGUGGGGUAGGAGAUAAUUACAAAAAGAAUAUAUGUGUUAUAUCUCCUGACCUCAUGAUCUGCACGCCUUGGCCUCUCAAAAAAUAUACAAUUCAGUGACAUUCAGGAGAGUCACAAUGCUUUGUAACCACCACCUCUCUCUGUUUCAUCACUCGCCAGAGCAUCUUCAGGGUUCAUCCACGUUGCAGGAGGAAUCAGCACUGCAUUCUUUUUUUUUUUUUUUUUUUUUUGGUGGGGUGUACAGAGUCUCGCUCUGUCACCCAGGCUGGAGUGCAGUGGCGCCAUCUCCGCUCACUGCAAGCUCCACCUCCUGGGUUCACGCCAUUCUCCUGCCUCUCUUGGCCUGCAGCAUCCUUCAGCACACCUGCCCCUGCCUGUCUCAAGCGCUCUCUCGGCCAUCACCAGAAAAAUCCAGAGCCAUUUCCCACAUAUACCAGGAAGGAGGACCCAUGAGGUCCUUCUCACCCCUACUUCCUCUUACCGUACUCCUAUUCAUCCUUCAAGACGCUGUGUGCAAUUGCUACCUCCAGAAAGUUCUAAGUGACUCCCC